rnacentral:rRNA from 1 species
UACGUAGGUGGCAAGCGUUGUUCGGAAUUAUUGGGCGUAAAGGGCGCGUAGGCGGUUUGUUAAGUCAGCUGUGAAAGCCCGGGGCUCAACCCCGGAGGGUCGGCUGAUACUGGCAGGCUAGAGUACGGAAGAGGUAGCUGGAAUUCCCGGUGUAGCGGUGAAAUGCGUAGAUAUCGGGAUGAACACCUGAGGCGAAGGCGGCCUUCUGGACGAUGACUGACGCUGAGACGCGAAAGCGUGGGGAGCAAACAGG